UACGUAGGUGGCAAGCGUUGUCCGGAUUUACUGGGCGUAAAGGGCGUGCAGGCGGCUUGUUAAGUGCAGGGUGAAAGCUCCCGGCUCAACUGGGGAGAGGUUCUUGCAUCUGGCGAGCUCGAGGGAGGCAGAGGAAAGUGGAAUUCCCGGUGUAGUGGUGAUAUGCGUAGAUAUCGGGAGGAACACCUGUGGCGAAGGCGGCUUUCUGGGCCUUACCUGACGCUGAGACGCGAAAGCGUGGGGAGCGAACCGG
rnacentral:rRNA from 1 species